rnacentral:rRNA from 1 species
AUUGAACGCUGGCGGCAUGCCUUACACAUGCAAGUCGAACGGUAACAGGUCUUCGGAUGCUGACGAGUGGCGAACGGGUGAGUAAUACAUCGGAACGUGCCUAGUAGUGGGGGAUAACUACUCGAAAGAGUGGCUAAUACCGCAUGAGAUCUACGGAUGAAAGCAGGGGAUCGCAAGACCUUGUGCUACUAGAGCGGCCGAUGGCAGAUUAGGUAGUUGGUGGGAUAAAAGCUUACCAAGCCGACGAUCUGUAGCUGGUCUGAGAGGACGAUCAGCCACACUGGGACUGAGACAGGGCCCAGACUCCUACGGGAGGCAGCAGUGGGGAAUUUUGGCCAAUGGGCGAAAGCCUGAUCCAGCAAUGCCGCGUGCAGGAUGAAGGCCUUCGGGUUGUGGACUGCUUUUGUACGGAACGAAAAGCCCCGGGUUAAUACCCUGGGGUCAUGACGGUACCGUAAGAAUAAGCACCGGCUAACUACGUGCCAGCAGCCGCGGUAA